AGUUUGAUCCUUGGUUCCGGGACGAACGGCUGGCGGCCAUGCCUAAAUCCAUGCAAAUCGGAACGCUGAACCACUUUGCUUGCAGAGUGCGGAUGAGUGGCGAACGGGUGAGUACCCGUGGGAAAUCUGCCUAGGAGGGGGGGAUAACAUUCGGAAACGGAUGUUAAUACCGCAUAUCUUUUUGAACCGCAUGGUUCUUAAACGAAAGACGGCUUCGGCUGUCGCUCUUAGAUGAUCCCGCGGCGUAUUAGUUAGUUGGUGGGGUAAAGGCCUACCAAGACCAUGAUACGUAGCCGACCUGAGAGGGUGAUCGGCCACACUGGGACUGAGACACGGCCCAGACUCCUACGGGAGGCAGCAGUAGGGAAUCUUCCACAAUGGGUGAAAACCUGAUGGAGCAAUGCCGCGUGAAUGAAGAAGGUCUUCGGAUCGUAAAGUUCUGUUAUUAGAGAAGAACAAGUCAAGGAGUAACUGUCUUGACUUUGACGGUACCUAACCAGAAAGUCACGGCUAACUACGUGCCAGCAGCCGCGGUAAUACGUAGGUGACAAGCGUUGUCCGGAAUUAUUGGGCGUAAAGGGAGCGCAGGCGGUUGGAAUAGUCUGAUGUGAAAGCCCAAGGCUUAACCGUGGAAGGUCAUUGGAAACUGUCCAACUUGAAUACAGAAGAGGUAAGUGGAAUUCCAAGUGUAGCGGUGAAAUGCGUAGAUAUUUGGAGGAACACCAGUGGCGAAGGCGACUUACUGGUCUGUAAUUGACGCUGAGGCUCGAAAGCGUGGGUAGCAAACAGGAUUAGAUACCCUGGUAGUCCACGCCGUAAACGAUGAGUGCUAAGUGUUAGGGGGUUUCCGCCCCUUAGUGCUGGAGUUAACGCA
rnacentral:rRNA from 1 species